UAAGCAGGGUGACAAUAGGCUGCCUUGAUGGACUCCUUUCCUGAUUUGGAACCAGUCUGUUGUUCCAUGUCCAGUGGAAGUAGCUCUAUACAGUCAGCAAAAAGAAGACUGGGAGCUGACUGUGACUCAGAUCGUGAACUCCCUGUUGCAAAAUUCAGACUUAAAUUGAAGAUAGUAGGGAAAACCACUAGGUCAUUCAGAUAUGACCUACAUCAAAUCCCUUAUGAUUAUACAGUGGAAGUGACAAAUAAAUUCAAGGGAUUAGAUCUGAUAGAGUACCUGAAGAACUAUGGAUACAGGUUCGUAACAUUGUACAGGAGUCAGUGAUCAAAACCAUCCCAAAGAAAAAGAAAUGCAAAAAGGCAAAAUGGUUGUCUGAGGAGGACUUACAAAUAGCUGAGAAAAGAAGUGAAAGGCAAAGGAGAAAAGGAAAGAUAUACCCAUUCUAAUGUAGAGUUGCAAAGAAUAACAAGGAGAGAUAAGAAAGCCUUGUUAAGUGAACAGUGCAAAGAAAUAGAAGAAAACAAUAGAAUGGAAAAGACUAGAGAUCUCUUCAAGAAAAUUAGAAAAUAUAUAUAUUAGAAAAUUAGAGAUAUGAAGGGCAAAGAUGGGUAAAUAAAGGCCAGAAACGGUAUGGACCUAAUGGAAGCAGAAGAUAUUAGAGUUGGCAAGAACACACAGAAAAGGUCUUAAUGACCCGGAUGACCAUGAUGGUAUGAUCACUCAUCGAGAGCCAGACAUCCUGGAAUGCGAAGUCAAGUGGGCCUUAGGAAGUUUCACUAUGAACAAAGCUAGUGAAUGCGAUGGAAUUUCAGCUGAGCUAUUUCAAAUCUUAAAAGAUGAUGAUAUUAAAGUGCUGCACUCAAUAUGCCAAUAAAAUUUGGAAAACACAGCAGUGGCCACAGAACUGGAAAAUGUCAGUUUUCAUUCUAAUCACAAAGAAAUGCAAUGCCAAAGAAUGUUCAAACUGCUGCACAAUUGCACUCAUUUCACACACUAGCAAGGUGAUACUCAAAAUUCUUCAAGCUAGGUUUCAACAGUAUGUGAACUGAGAACUUCCAGAUGUACAAGCUGGGUCUGGAAAAGACAGAAGAACCAGA
ensembl:lncRNA